GCUGGCGGCAGGCCUAACACAUGCAAGUCGAACGGAGUUAUAUUGUAGCUUGCUAUGGUAUAACUUAGUGGCAGACGGGUGAGUAAUGUAUAGGAAUCUACCUAGUAGUACGGAAUAAUUGUUGGAAACGGCAACUAAUACCGUAUACGCCCUACGGGGGAAAAAUUUAUUGCUAUUAGAUGAGCCUAUAUUAGAUUAGCUAGUUGGUGGAGUAAUAGCCUACCAAGGCAAUGAUCUAUAGCUGAUCUGAGAGGAUGAUCAGCCACACUGGAACUGAGAUACGGUCCAGACUCCUACGGGAGGCAGCAGUGGGGAAUAUUGGACAAUGGGCGAAAGCCUGAUCCAGCCAUGCCGCAUGAGUGAAGAAGGCCUUUGGGUUGUAAAGCUCUUUUAGUGAGGAAGAUAAUGACGGUACUCACAGAAGAAGUCCUGGCUAACUCCGUGCCAGCAGCCGCGGUAAUACGGAGAGGGCUAGCGUUAUUCGGAAUUAUUGGGCGUAAAGGGCGCGUAGGCGGAUUAGUAAGUUAAAAGUGAAAUCCCAAGGCUCAACCUUGGAAUUGCUUUUAAAACUGCUAAUCUAGAGAUUGAAAGAGGAUAGAGGAAUUCCUAGUGUAGAGGUGAAAUUCGUAAAUAUUAGGAGGAACACCAGUGGCGAAGGCGUCUAUCUGGUUCAAACUGACGCUGAAGCGCGAAGGCGUGGGGAGCAAACAGGAUUAGAUACCCUGGUAGUCCACGCUGUAAACGAUGAAUGUUAAAUAUGGGAAGUUUUACUUUCU
rnacentral:rRNA from 1 species